GCGGGGAUAGCUCAGCUGGGAGAGCGUCAGACUGAAGCCAAACUUCAUCUGCUAUCUGAAGGUCGUGUGUUCGAUCCACACUCACCGCA
rnacentral:tRNA from 1 species